rnacentral:rRNA from 1 species
CAGGACGAACGCUGGCGGCGUGCCUAACACAUGCAAGUCGAGCGGGGGACAUACGACGGACAGGAAGUUUUCGGAUGGAAUGGAAGAUGUAUGUUCUAGCGGCGGACGGGUGAGUAACGCGUGAGCAACCUGUCCCUUACAGGGGGAUAACACAGCGAAAGCUGUACUAAUACCGCAUAAGACCACAGAGAGACAUCUCACAGGGGUCAAAGGAGCAAUCCGGUAAGGGGUGGGCUCGCGUCCGAUUAGAUAGUUGGUGAGGUAACGGCCCACCAAGUCAACGAUCGGUAGCCGACCUGAGAGGGUGAUCGGCCACAUUGGGACUGAGACACGGCCCAAACUCCUACGGGAGGCAGCAGUGGGGAAUAUUGCACAAUGGGCGCAAGCCUGAUGCAGCAACGCCGCGUGAGCGAAGAAGGUCUUCGGAUUGUAAACCUCUGUCCUCAGGGACGAAGGAAGUGACGGUACCUGAGGAGGAAGCCCCGGCUAACUACGUGCC